rnacentral:rRNA from 1 species
CCUACGGGAGGCAGCAGUGGGGAAUCUUCCGCAAUGGGCGAAAGCCUGACGGAGCAACGCCGCGUGAGUGACGAAGGCCCUUGGGUCGUAAAACUCUGUCUUCAGGGAAGAAAAAAAUGACGGUACCUGAGGAGGAAGCCCCGGCUAACUACGUGCCAGCAGCCGCGGUAA